rnacentral:rRNA from 1 species
GUGGGGAAUAUUGGACAAUGGGCGAAAGCCUGAUCCAGCCAUGCCGCGUGUGUGAAGAAGGCCUUUUGGUUGUAAAGCACUUUAAGCGAGGAGGAGGCUACUUAGAUUAAUACUCUUGGAUAGUGGACGUUACUCGCAGAAUAAGCACCGGCUAACUCUGUGCCAGCAGCCGCGGUAAUACAGAGGGUGCAAGCGUUAAUCGGAUUUACUGGGCGUAAAGCGCGCGUAGGUGGCCAAUUAAGUCAAAUGUGAAAUCCCCGAGCUUAACUUGGGAAUUGCAUUCGAUACUGGUUGGCUAGAGUAUGGGAGAGGAUGGUAGAAUUCCAGGUGUAGCGGUGAAAUGCGUAGAGAUCUGGAGGAAUACCGAUGGCGAAGGCAGCCAUCUGGCCUAAUACUGACACUGAGGUGCGAAAGCAUGGGGAGCAAACAGGAUUAGAAACCCGUGUAGUCC